rnacentral:rRNA from 1 species
UGCCCUAGUAACGGCGAGUGAAGCGGCAACAGCUCAAAUUUGAAAUCUGGCUUCGGCCCGAGUUGUAAUUUGUAGAGGAAGCUUUAGGCGCGGCACCUUCUGAGUCCCCUGGAACGGGGCGCCAUAGAGGGUGAGAGCCCCGUAUAGUUGGAUGCCUAGCCUGUGUAAAGCUCCUUCGACGAGUCGAGUAGUUUGGGAAUGCUGCUCAAAAUGGGAGGUAAAUUUCUUCUAAAGCUAAAUACCGGCCAGAGACCGAUAGCGCACAAGUAGAGUGAUCGAAAGAUGAAAAGCACUUUGAAAAGAGGGUUAAAUAGCACGUGAAAUUGUUGAAAGGGAAGCGCUUGUGACCAGACUUGCGCCGGGCUGAUCAUCCGGUGUUCUCACCGGUGCACUCUGCCCGGCUCAGGCCAGCAUCGGUUCUCGCGGGGGGAUAAAGGCCCAGGGAAUGUAGCUCCUCCGGGAGUGUUAUAGCCCGGGGCGCAAUGCCCUCGCGGGGACCGAGGUUCGCGCUCUGCAAGGAUGCUGGCGUAAUGGUCAUCAGCGACCCGUCUUGAAACACGGACCAAGGAGUCAAGGUUUUGCGCGAGUGUUUGGGUGUAAAACCCGCACGCGUAAUGAAAGUGAACGUAGGUGAGAGCUUCGGCGCAUCAUCGACCGAUCCUGAUGUUUUCGGAUGGAUUUGAGUAAGAGCGUUAAGCCUUGGACCCGAAAGAUGGUGAACUAUGCUUGGAUAGGGUGAAGCCAGAGGAAACUCUGGUGGAGGCUCGCAGCGGUUCUGACGUGCAAAUCGAUCGUCAAAUCUGAGCAUGGGGCGAAAGACUAAUCG